AUUGAACGCUGGCGGCAGGCUUAACACAUGCAAGUCGAACGAGUGGCGGACGGGUGAGUAAUGCUUGGGAAUCUGGCUUAUGGAGGGGGAUAACGACGGGAAACUGUCGCUAAUACCGCGUACCAUCGGAUGAGCCCAAGUGGGAUUAGGUCGUUGGUGGGGUAAUGGCCUACCAAGCCGACGAUCGCUAGCUGGUCUGAGAGGAUGACCAGCCAAAACGGGACUGGGAAACGGCCCAGAAUCCUACGGGAGGCAGCAGUAGGGAAACUUCGGAAAAGGACGGAAGUUGAACGAGCAAAGCAGGGUGAGUGAAGAAGGUUUUCGGAUCGUAAAGGUAUGUUGGAAGAGAAGCGGUAUCUGACCAGAAAGGGACGGCUAACUACGUGCCAGCAGCCGCGGUAAUUC
rnacentral:rRNA from 1 species